UGUUCGGCUACAACGUUUAUUUUAAAAAAUAACUGGCCUUUUUUUGGCCAAACCUAAAACCACAAAGUGAUUUUGUAGUUUUCGUUUUCUUAUAUGCGACUUGUAUUCAUCCCCUCUCUGUAGAUCUCUCCACCUCUGAUUCGCUCACUGUCGUCUUAAUUCAAGGAGUAUACUGUACAGAUCUCUCCACCUCUGAUUCGCUCACUGUCGUCUUAAUUCAAGGAGUAUACUGUACAGGUAAGCCUUCUGAAUCAAGAAGUUAUAAUUGAGAGAUACAGUCAGAAGUGGGAUAUCAGUUAACAAACUCCAAAGAGACAAGAAUAUUUGAAGAACAGGUGUGUUACACUGGUGUGCCUGCUUCUGGUUUAGUUGAUACUUCUGUUGCACUAUUGUUUCUGCUGCAUUGAUUUUCUAUGCUCUGCUGCUGCUGGGGUUUUGCAGCUGCUUCGUAUAGUGUUGACGCAUUCUGUUGCCCUGCUGGUGCUGCUUGUAUUCUAGCUUCUUUGUUUUGUUUUUUUUUUUGCUCCUGGUGCUGUAGCUUCUUUGUUUUGUUUUUUUGCUGGUUGUGUUAGUCGGUUUGGGAUGCAGGUUGUGCUCCCUUAACUGAGAUGUUUGUUUCUUUUUUUUUUUUUUUUGGAUAUUAGGUGUAUUACUUCCUUUUGGUAAUAUAUUUUCUCUAUGUUACCAAAAAAAUAAAUAUAUAACACACUUUAGGU